rnacentral:rRNA from 1 species
AGCUCGAAAGGGUUGCAGUGAAAAGGUGGCUGCGACUGUUUAUUAAAAACACAGCACUCUGCAAACACGAAAGUGGACGUAUAGGGUGUGACGCCUGCCCGGUGCUGGAAGAUUAAAUGAUGGGGUGCAAGCUCUUGACUGAAGUCCCAGUAAACGGCGGCCGUAACAAUAACGGUCCUAAGGUAGCGAAAUUCCUUGUCGGGUAAGUUCCGACCCGCACGAAUGGCGUAACGAUGGCCACACUGUCUCCUCCUGAGACUCAGCGAAGUUGAAAUGUUUGUGAAGAUGCAAUCUCCCCGCUGCUAGACGGAAAGACCCCGUGAACCUUUACUGUAGCUUUGCAUUGGACUUUGAACAGACUUGUGUAGGAUAGGUGGGAGGCUUUGAAGUGGGAACGCCAGUUCUCAUGGAGCCGUCCUUGAAUACACCCUGGUGUGUUUGAGGUUCUAACCUGGGUCCGUAAUCCGGAUCGGGGACCGUGCAUGGUAGGCAG